CCGGGCGCGCCGCCGGGCACCGUCGCAGGACCGCCAUCGCCGCCGGAUCCGCCAAAGGCGUGCACAAGGCUCUGGCCGUCGGUCAGUGCAGCACCGCCGGCGCCGCCGCCGCCAACAGUACCCUGAUCGGCUGCCACGCCGUUUAUGCUGCCGUCAUUGUCGAUCGUGCCAUCGAGAUUGAGCGUGCCGCUCACAAAGACCCGAUAGCCGUGGGUGCGCAGCCGGGCGCCUACGGGCACGACGAGGUCCAGAUAGUGCACGUCGGCCGCGAGGUCGACCGUGCCCGAAAUCGACACGCUCUCUGUCCCGGCGCCAAACAAGAGGCCGCCCAGCGGCCCCGGCGGUCCGACUUCGCCUGGCGGUCCCUGGUCGCCCGUCGGGCCUGCUGGACCUUGUUCGCCUGGUGGUCCCAUUUCGCCUGCGGGACCGGCGUCGCCGGGCGGUCCAUCUGGGCCGCGUGGACCCUGACCGCCUGCCGCGCCUCGUGUGCCUGGCGGACCCUGGGCUCCAUCUGCUCCCGGUGCGCCAUUCAGUCCAGCCUCGCCGGCCGGGCCUCUGGGUCCGCUCGGUCCCGCCACUCCCCGUUUGCCCGGCGGACCGACAGGACCGGGCGGACCCUGUCUGCCGUGGCGUGCUGCGGUGGGCGCGGAUAGAAUGCGCACAGCGCCGCGGGGCGGCACGGGGCGCGGCAACCUCACAUAGACCUGCAUCACGCGCGUGGCGCCGACACCGACCGGCGCCGUCGACUGCGUGUGCGCCAUCGCGGGGACUGGCGGAUGUGGGAUUGAUUUUCCUCUCUUCCUUUUUCUGUUGCUCCUCUUUCCGUCGCGUGUCGGCCCGUCUGCGCGAUCCCUGCACGGGCAAGCCGCCCGAUGCUAGCCGGUCUCUUUUUUUUUCUUGGUAGUGACCGUGGUGGUACAGCCAGGCCUUACCAUGCCGACCGACGAUCGCACCAUGCCGGCCUGGUGCGGGGAAGACAGAAAGUUGUGCCACCCUUUUUUUUUUCUCUACGACAAAAAUAGAGUCUCGAGUCGGCUACAUUGUCGCCUCUGCACCUUGUGCACAUCCUCGAUCAGCCGAAAAC
rnacentral:lncRNA from 1 species